AGAGUCCACAGGAAAAGAGCAGCGAAUCCAUCCUGACCCCAAGUCCUGCGGGGCGCAUCGCAAGGUGUGAUCCGAACCGUGGACAGGCACGCCGCCAAAUUGAUGCACGAGAACC
rnacentral:misc_RNA from 1 species